rnacentral:rRNA from 1 species
ACUCCUGCGGGAGGCAGCAGUGGGGAAUUUUGGACAAUGGGCGAAAGCCUGAUCCAGCAAUGCCGCGUGCAGGAUGAAGGCCUUCGGGUUGUAAACUGCUUUUGUACGGAACGAAAAAGCUCCUUCUAAUACAGGGGGCCCAUGACGGUACCGUAAGAAUAAGCACCGGCUAACUACGUGCCAGCAGCCGCGGUAAUACGUAGGGUGCGAGCGUUAAUCGGAAUUACUGGGCGUAAAGCGUGCGCAGGCGGUUAUGUAAGACAGAUGUGAAAUCCCCGGGCUCAACCUGGGAACUGCAUUUGUGACUGCAUGGCUAGAGUACGGUAGAGGGGGAUGGAAUUCCGCGUGUAGCAGUGAAAUGCGUAGAUAUGCGGAGGAACACCGAUGGCGAAGGCAAUCCCCUGGACCUGUACUGACGCUCAUGCACGAAAGCGUGGGGAGCAAACAGGAUUAGAAACCCGGGUAGUCCCAUG